UGCUAUUUCCCCACCCAUUCUUUUGACAUUUUCUUCAGCUUAUGUAAGCCACUAUGCAAAGCAGUUUCAAGUCUCCCUCCUUCUAAGUGGGUGUUUGCUUCUAAAUCCCUCUUAUAAAGACAUUCCAGCAGGCUGCUGAGGACCGCCUAAAUAAUGAGCUUCAGUGAGUUAGUUGCUUUAGUUGUCUGAGGAACAUAUUUAUUCUGUCAGAAACGUAAAAAUACUUUCAGUCAAAGCCCCGUCUUCAGGGUCCUCAAGAUAGAGAAAUUCUGCUUUGGCAUCAUACCCUUCAUCUCUAUUUUUGGAUCUCUUGAUUUGCUAGACGGUCUUUCUAUUUGCUUAAUCACUUUACUUAAAAAGGCAAGAAAAGCACAUGGAAUUUUGUCCUAGUUUUAGUGCAGUUCUGCCCUAAGACCAAGGCAAGAGUGGGGCUUUCCCUGCGCCUCUCACUUUAGAGGGACCUGUUUGGACUCCUCCGUGAGCUUCACCCUCCCAUGAGCUGCAGAGUCCACGGGUCAAGGGGACAUUCCCACCUAGGUCCACACCCCCAUGCUCCCCACUCCCUCAAUCCCUGGCUUGGACUCACACAGAUUAAAUUUUGAAACACAAAUUCCAAGUAUGAAUAGUCCCAAGCCCACAUCCAGGGCUUUGCGCAGGUUUCUUUCCUGCAUCUGCCCUCCCAAAGGCUCACUUUGCUGCUCAGGUGCAUAGCACUGGGCCUGCAGUGUGCCUAGGGAAUAGCUCUUGGCUGGGGUGUUCGACUCGUGAACUCGGAGAGGCAGGUUGAGAAAUUCCAUCUGAAGAGUUUGGGCUUAGAGCUCCCUCGUAACUUAGAGAUGAUUUUUUAAAGGACUCAGGUGUCCAUCUUUGGUUCAGAAAAGAUGAUCUUGUACCUAAAUGUCUCCCAUGUUGCCAUUCCAGUCUCAAAUGUCAUACUGCAACAAGAAAAUAAAAUGGUCCACACGUAAAUGAAUGCUUGAUGUACAACAAAGGUGCACUGCAGGUCAGCGGGAGAAAAAAGUCUUUCCAAUAAGUGGCGCUAGGACAAUUGCGUACCAUGCUGGAAAAAGAAGAAAUUGAACUCCUAACUCACACAAAAGUCAAUUCCAGGGUGUCAUCUCCCAGCCGGCACUUUAGCUGUAACUUCAAGAGGCAAUUUCACUACUCUUUCAUGAUGGCAGUUUCUAGAUGGUGCAUGAUCCACAACCACAUGCCCAAUGCCAUACCUCAGCUGCUAUGAAGACAGUCUCGUGGUUCAAAGACAAUGUUAGGCGCCAUCCCAGAGUUGAAUGGAACUGAUAUAAACAAUAGGCCGCCGAGUGACUAGUUGGUCAUCUGAAGGAAGAAUACCAAUAAGAAAAGGUCUUUCUUUCAUGAAACAGGUCAUGGAGAACUGAAAGCUCAUGGUGUGUUCAGAGAACAGCUAGCAGAGGAGAGGAGGAAAGAAGAGAAGGAAGGAAGAAGAUCAAGCUGAAAUGGUACUACGGGGACUCUUAAUGCUCCAUUAAGCCAAAUGGUUUGGACUUCAUCUGUAAGUAAUAGGGAGCCAAUGAAGAGUGUGGGACAGGAGAGUAAUUCAAUUCAGUAUGUAUUUUGAAUUGAUGGCUAUGAUAGUGACUAAGGAGAAUUAGAAAGUAGAGGCAGUUAGACUAGUUCGGUGGCUGUAGAAAUAGUCUAGGUGGGAGAUGAGGUCACAUUUCAAAGGACCUUGAAGAAAUGGGCACCUGUGGUGGAGGUAUUGUGUUGUCUCCCAAUGUCUGUUUGUUCCUUCUUGCUUUACUUAUAACCCGCCUCACCUUUCACUGGGUGCAUCUCCAUUCGGAAUAAAGAUUAAUCCCUGCCUCCUUGGCAGUUAGAUGGGGUCAUGUGUCUAAGGUCUGGCUAGCAGACAUAAAUGGAAGCAGUCUCUGCAACUUCUGCAGAAUGACCCUAACGGAAGGGAUUCACUUUUCUUUAUCUUUUCUCCUUUCUGAUGGUUGGAGGCUGGCCAUGGUGGCUACAACUGGAGCAGCCAUUUGGGUGGUGAGGUGAGUUCAAGAUGGAAGCCAAGCACAACCUAGAAGGACCCUGACUCCCUGACACCAUGGUUUGCCAUACAGGACCUGGACUGAUUCCCUCUGGAACUUUAUCUGAGAGAAAUAAACUUCUGUCUUGCUUAAGCCAUUUUUAUGAUGUCUUUCUGUCAUUUGUAGCUAAUCUUAAUCCUAAUUUCUACAUUAUCCUUCCAUAAGCUGUGAAGAGCCACAAAAAGUUUUAUGCGGGGGAAUGAAAUGAUGAAUAUCAUCUAUUGCAAGAGAUUCUAUGCUCACCAUGUCUUGAAAGAACUGCAGACACGCAAUGCUUCAGGCAACAACACACCUUAGGAGACCACUGCAGCCACCUGGUUUGAGAGGGGACCUGGACUGAAAUAAGGCAGCAGGAAGGGGCUAUCAUUCCCUGAAGAUGCCCACAGCCCUUUCACAACUCCCAUGUUUUUGCUCUUACUAUUCCUUCUGAUUAGAAAGAUCUCACCUUCAAGACCUACCUAGUCCUGAAAUGAUCUUCGGCAUUCUCACAGAGUUUUGUUUUCCUACAAAAGUUUGUCCACUCAUUUCUUUGUUCAUGCUAUUAAUGCUCUCUCAAACACAUAUAUAAAUCUGAUGGUGUCUUUCCUGGUUAAACUCCCUGGGCAGACAAAGCACUCCAAGAACUAAACAUCAUGGAGCACUUACUAUGCACUGGGCAGAUUGUUACGCCCUUUAUAUGCACUAUCUUAUUGAAGCCUCUAAACAUCUCUAUGAGGCUGGAGUCAGUGGCGCGAUCUCGGCUCACUGCAACCUCUGCCUCCUGGGUUCAAGUGGUUCUCCUGCCUCAGCCUCCCGAGUAGCUGGGACUACAGAUGACUGUAAAUGCAAAGUACAGCUUGCUUUGAUAUCUGACGGCAGGAUGACAUUAUGCUACCACCGUUCUGUGGACAUUCCAUAUGAACACACCAAACCUAUCCCUCUAAACAGAUCCUGUGCAUAAUAACUAAGAAACACAUGACCAGGUGCUCAGAACCAGAUUAGAAGAAUAUGAGCACCUUGAGCAAGGACCCAGAUAGACCAGCUUAGCAAAAUGUUUGUUACCACUAAGCACUGUUGAUAUCCUCAUGGACAGUAUCACAGUGUCAUAAAAAACUGAACCCUCCAAAAGACAGAUGAUUUCGAGGUUCCUGGGAAUCAAAGAGAAACGUUAUCCUUUGCUUCAUUUGCCAUUUGUGAAAAUGCAAUCUGUUAUAUUCACUAAUAUGAUAUAUCAUAAAAAUAAUAAUUAUAAAAUCUCUUUUCAUAUUAAAAAAUAUUAAGAUACAGAA